AACGAACGCUGGCGGCAUGCCUAACACAUGCAAGUCGAACGAUGCCUUCGGGCAUAGUGGCGCACGGGUGCGUAACACGUGGGAAUCUGCCCUUGGCUUCGGAAUAACAGUUAGAAAUGACUGCUAAUACCGGAUGAUGUCCCCCUGAGAGAUCUUGGGGACCAAAGAUUUAUCGGCCAGGGAUGAGCCCGCGUAGGAUUAGGUAGUUGGUGGGGUAAAGGCCUACCAAGCCGACGAUCCUUAGCUGGUCUGAGAGGAUGAUCAGCCACACUGGGACUGAGACACGGCCCAGACUCCUACGGGAGGCAGCAGUGGGGAAUAUUGGACAAUGGGGGGAACCCUGAUCCAGCAAUGCCGCGUGAGUGAUGAAGGCCUUAGGGUUGUAAAGCUCUUUUACCAGGGAUGAUAAUGACAGUACCUGGAGAAUAAGCUCCGGCUAACUCCGUG
rnacentral:rRNA from 1 species